rnacentral:rRNA from 1 species
AUUGAACGCUGGCGGCAUGCCUUACACAUGCAAGUCGAACGGCAGCAUGAUCUAGCUUGCUAGAUUGAUGGCGAGUGGCGAACGGGUGAGUAAUACAUCGGAACGUGCCCUGUAGUGGGGGAUAACUAGUCGAAAGAUUAGCUAAUACCGCAUACGACCUGAGGGUGAAAGUGGGGGACCGCAAGGCCUCAUGCUAUAGGAGCGGCCGAUGUCUGAUUAGCUAGUUGGUGGGGUAAAGGCCCACCAAGGCGACGAUCAGUAGCUGGUCUGAGAGGACGAUCAGCCACACUGGGACUGAGACACGGCCCAGACUCCUACGGGAGGCAGCAGUGGGGAAUUUUGGACAAUGGGGGCAACCCUUAUCCAGCAAUGCCGCGUGUGUGAAGAAGGCCUUCGGGUUGUAAAGCACUUUUGUCCGGAAAGAAAUCGCACUUACUAAUAUUAGGUGUGGAUGACGGUACCGGAAGAAUAAGGACCGGCUAACUACGUG